GCUAACUACGUGCCAGCAGCCGCGGUAAUACGUAGGUGGCAAGCGUUGUCCGGAAUUAUUGGGCGUAAAGCGCGCGCAGGCGGUCUCUUAAGUCUGAUGUGAAAGCCCCCGGCUUAACCGGGGAGGGUCAUUGGAAACUGGGAGACUUGAGUGCAGGAGAGGGAAGCGGAAUUCCAUGUGUAGCGGUGAAAUGCGUAGAGAUAUGGAGGAACACCAGUGGCGAAGGCGGCUUCCUGGCCUGUAACUGACGCUGAGGCGCGAAAGCGUGGGGAGCAAACAGGAUUAGAUACCCUGGUAGUCCACGCCGUAAACGAUGAGUGCUAAGUGUUAGGGGGUUUCCACCCCUU
rnacentral:rRNA from 1 species